GGAUUAGAUACCCUGGUAGUCCACGCCGUAAACGAUGUCGACUAGCCGUUGGGAACCUACGAGUUCUUAGUGGCGCAGCUAACGCACUAAGUCGACCGCCUGGGGAGUACGGCCGCAAGGUUAAAACUCAAAUGAAUUGACGGGGGCCCGCACAAGCGGUGGAGCAUGUGGUUUAAUUCGAAGCAACGCGAAGAACCUUACCAAGUCUUGACAUCCUGCGAACUUUUCAGAAAUGAAUUGGUGCCUUCGGGAACGCAGUGACAGGUGCUGCAUGGCUGUCGUCAGCUCGUGCCG
rnacentral:rRNA from 1 species